rnacentral:rRNA from 1 species
AUGAAAUGUCCAGGCCGGCCUGCAGAGAGGAAAUGUAGUCGAGUGGUGUAUUUGCAACUGCACAUUACACCACACUGCAAGGAAGCAACUAGCGAGCUCUAUAUGCUGACCAUAAGCAUGAUGGUGUGCAUGCGGACGCAACGCUGCAUCGCUGGGCAAGUCUCCUUUGGCAGUGGCUGGUUGUUUGAUCAGGCCACUAUCCAAGGAGAUCGGCCCAGUAAUGCGUGGCUCCGUACGUCGGUCGUUGGGCUCUUUGCUGUGGCUUGCGAGCGCCUACUAGACUCACGCCACCUACUCUCUAUGUCUGAGGUUUCUCCUCCUCGAUGGACGAAUAUUGCAUUAUAG